UACGGGGGGGGCAAGCGUUGUUCGGAAUUACUGGGCGUAAAGGGCUCGUAGGUGGCCAACUAAGUCGGACGUGAAAUCCCUCAGCUUAACUGGGGAACUGCGUCCGAUACUGGAUGGCUUGAGUUUGGGAGAGGGAUGCGGAAUUCCAGGUGUAGCGGUGAAAUGCGUAGAUAUCGGAAGGAACACCUGUGGCGAAAGCGGCUCACUGGACCACUACUGACGCUGAGGCACGAAAGCUAGGGGAGCAAACAGG
rnacentral:rRNA from 1 species